UACAGAGGUCUCAAGCGUUGUUCGGAUUCAUUGGGCGUAAAGGGUGCGUAGGCGGCGCGGUAAGUCGGGUGUGAAAUCUUGGAGCUUAACUCCGAAACUGCAUUCGAUACUGCCGUGCUUGAGGACUGGAGAGGAGACUGGAAUUUACGGUGUAGCGGUGAAAUGCGCAGAUAUCAGGAGGAACACCGGUGGCGAAGGCGGGUCUCUGGGCCGUAACUGACGCUGAGGAGCGAAAAGCAUGGGGGAGCGAACAGG
rnacentral:rRNA from 1 species